rnacentral:rRNA from 1 species
GACGAACGCUGGCGGCGUGCUUAACACAUGCAAGUCGAACGGAAAGGCCCUGCUUUUGUGGGGUGCUCGAGUGGCGAACGGGUGAGUAACACGUGAGUACCCUGCCCUUGCCUUUGGGAUAACUUCAGGAAACUGGGGCUAAUACCGGAUAGGAGCUCCUGCUGCAUGGUGGGGGUUGGAAAGUUUCGGCGGUUGGGGAUGGACUCGCGGCUUAUCAGCUUGUUGGUGGGGUAGUGGCUUACCAAGGCUUUGACGGGUAGCCGGCCUGAGAGGGGGACCGGGCACAUUGGGACUGAGAUACGGCCCAGAGUCCUACGGGAGGCAGCAGUGGGGAAUAUUGCACAAUGGGCGGAAGCCUGGUGCAGCAACGCCGCGUGCGGGAUGACGGCCUUCGGGUUGUAAACCGCUUUCGCCUGUAACGAAGCGUGAGUGACGGUAAUGGGUAAAGAAGCACCGGCUAACUACGUG